AUGGGGAUUUUUGGGCAUGUCAGAGAAGUUGAUUAUUAUCCGAAUAUCUUCGUUGCUCAUUGCAUCUUGUUUACGGUGUUUGUGACGGUUGUAAUGGCUGAAAAAAAAUUCAAGCUGGAAUUGUUGAAGAACUAUUUGUGGUUAACAAUGACUCGAGGGAGGUUAAAUCGUUUGGCUACAUUAUGCAUCGAGAACAAAUUAUUGGAUGAGAUUAACAUCGACCCCAUCAUAAGUGACUUUGCAUCGAGGAAUGUUAGAAGAAAUAUUUAA
rnacentral:rRNA from 1 species